rnacentral:rRNA from 1 species
GACGAACGCUGUCGGCGUGCUUAACACAUGCAAGUCGAACGAAGUGGCGAACGGGUGAGUAACGCGUAAUCAACCUGCCCUUCAGAGGGGGACAACAGUUGGAAACGACUGCUAAUACCGCAUACUGAAGGCGGGGAUUGCGUCUGAUUAGCUAGUUGGAGGGGUAACGGCCACCCAAGGCGAUGAUCAGUAGCCGGUCAGAAGGGAUGACCGGCCACAUGGGGACUGGGACACGGCCCAGACUCCUACGGGAGGCAGCCGUUGGGAAUCUUCCGAAAUGGACGAAAGUCUGACGGAGCAACGCAGCGUGAGGGAUGACGGCCUUCGGGUUGUAAAGCUCUGUUAAUCGGGACGCGGUACCGGAAUAGAAAGCCACGGCUAACUACGUGCCAGCAGCCGCGGUAAUAC